rnacentral:rRNA from 1 species
GUCCAAGUUCCUUGGAACAGGACGUCACAGAGGGUGACAAUCCCGUACGUGGNCGCUAGCUAUUGCCGUGUAAAGCCCCUUCGACGAGUCGAGUUGUUUGGGAAUGCAGCUCUAAAUGGGAGGUAAAUUUCUUCUAAAGCUAAAUAUUGGCCAGAGACCGAUAGCGCACAAGUAGAGUGAUCGAAAGAUGAAAAGCACUUUGGAAAGAGAGUCAAACAGCACGUGAAAUUGUUGAAAGGGAAGCGCUUGCAGCCGGACUUGCUUGCAGUUGCUCAUCCGGGCUUUUGCCCGGUGCACUCUUCUGCAGGCAGGCCAGUAUCAGUUUGGGCGGUGGGAUAAAGGUCUCUGUCACGUUCCUUCCUUCGGGUUGGCCAUAUAGGGAAGAUGUCAUACCACCAGCCUGGACUGACGUCCGCGCAUCUGCUAGGAUGCUGGCGUAAUGGCUGUAAGCU